AUCCAGCUGACGAGUCUCAGGUAGGACGAAACCCGCGUCCUGAAU
rnacentral:hammerhead_ribozyme from 1 species